rnacentral:rRNA from 1 species
AGAGUUUGAUCAUGGCUCAGGACGAACGCUGGCGGUGUGCUUCACACAUGCAAGUCGAACGAGGUAGCAAUACCUAGUGGCGGACGGGUGCGUAACGCGUGGGAAUCUGCCCUUCGGUUCGGAACAACAGUUAGAAAUGACUGCUAAUACCGGAUGAUGACGUAAGUCCAAAGAUUUAUCGCCGAAGGAUGAGCCCGCGUAGGAUUAGCUAGUUGGUAAGGUAAAAGCUUACCAAGGCGACGAUCCUUAGCUGGUCUGAGAGGAUGAUCAGCCACACUGGGACUGAGACACGGCCCAGACUCCUACGGGAGGCAGCAGUGGGGAAUAUUGGACAAUGGGCGAAAGCCUGAUCCAGCAAUGCCGCGUGAGUGAUGAAGGCCUUAGGGUUGUAAAGCUCUUUUACCAGGGAUGAUAAUGACAGUACCUGGAGAAUAAGCUCCGGCUAACUCCGUG